ensembl:lncRNA
UUUUUUUUUUUCUUAAAGAAAGGCAGCUAUGCUUGGUUUAUUAAAACAGAACCUUCUCCAUGCCAUAAUGGUCAGACAAGACAACCCAGCCAUUAAACUGAAAAUGACAAGAAACCUACUGAGCUUUCAGAAUGUUACAUCCCUAUUACACUUGUGUUUCUUGACAAUCCCAAGGUGGAUUGCAAAGCCACCCAGUCCCAGCUCCUACACAACCUUGUAUGUUUUAGGCAGCCCUGAGCUUCACGAAGAGAUUAAAACUGCCUGCCUGGAACUACAACAAGGACCACCUGCAGCUAUGCCAAUAACCUGGAAGUACUCCUAAAGGAUCCUAUGGCCUGGGACAUGGGUCCCCUUCUCAGCAUGUUACUUUCUGAAAAACAUACUGGUCUACUUGAAUUGUUUCCCUGUGACUUUUCUUUCUUUUAAUCCUUAAUUUUCUGGUAUAUCCACCAGGAGGAUGCUAAGUACCUUCCCAUGGUCGCUGAAAGUGACUUCUAGCUUCAAGCUAGAGAGUUUGAGACUUUCUAAGCAGCUUUGUUUUCAUGAACCCUUCAGGAUAAAUUUUGGAAAGUCUCUUACGUAUUAGCUAACUGGAUUUGAAAAGCUUUCAUGCUUCUAAUCCAAACUGGGUGCUCAUCUUCUAUAUCCUCUGGUCUGAGAGGUCUCCUGCAUCAUCUGCCUCUUUGCUUCACUCAAGCUUCCAGUGAGCACAGAGGCAUUCUCAAGGAUCUGAACCAUUAUUACCAUUUUACUUUUCCUCUUGCUUCUGAAACCUGAAGGUUCGGUCUAUGGCAGUUUAAGUUACUAGAACCCAGGACAGUUGGGGCCUUGCCAGCCUCUGCCUCUGAGCUUGCACAGUCCCUUGCACACUGACCCAGUGAUCUAAGAUCAAUGAAAAUGAACACUGCCAGAAACAGUGUCUAGCUUUCAGCUGGGUGUCCCCACAUGCUGCUGGCACUACUUCCAGAGGAAACAGAAGGAAGCUGGACCAGACAAGUAACUAUGCUUCUAGCAGCACUGGUAAGAAAGUAAACACCUGGUGCUGAAAAAUAGGAUCCCUUCUGCUGUUAUGCAUAAGAAGUAAGCCUCAUGUUUGUGCACCAUGUGAGAAGGGGACAGAAAGCUAGCACAAGCAGGUCAGGUCAGGUGCUUUCAAACUAUCAGGUUUUACAAUGUCAUUUUCAGAGCCCAGAAGUGGUUAUAAAAUGGCUGUGUAACAGGCUAAUCCCAAAUAGGUUACAAUACAGAGAAAGGGCGUGAUGAGUCCUGUUUGGAGGACAUGGCUAAAAUAAUAUUUAUUUUGGGAUAAUGUUGACGUCUGGUAACUAAACUCAGGAAAGCAUCUGUGACACGCUGGCCCAACCCAUACAGCUCACAGCUCUGCUCUUGAUGUGAACUCAGUGAAACUAAUCAGAGUUUGAGCUAGGAGUGAGGCCUCAGAGUGGGUUGUGUGGGGUCAUUGCCUCCUUCAGGGAUCCCAGGCCAAAAGGAUGGGCAGGUAGGAAAGCUGGGCUGCAGGAUGUUCGUGUCAAGCUUUUAUUACCACAUGUGCAGGGUUUGGUGCUUGUUCCAAAACUGGAAAGAGGACUGGACUCCAGCAGUUAUGCUGGCUCCAUCUUGCUCCUGGGUGAGGAGAACAGGCCUGCAUUGGGCCAGCUUGCAGAGUGAGCUGAGUGUCCUAAGGAUCUAAUCCCUGGAACUGAGAAGAAAAAGUAGAGAAACAUAUUCUUAGAUGUUAAUUACGGUAGUUGACAGUAAUGGCAAUUAGUAAAAGGUAUUGAAUAUGUCAUUUUUGCCCUAUGGCACCCUUGAACAGCAGUCACAUGAGCCUGAAAGAUUUUUAGGGCUACACUUGCCAGUUAGUGAAGGCCUCUCAGCAUGUUUUCUGCCUAUGUGCCUUCCUUUCCUUCAAGUAUGGUUAAUUAUGGUCAUGUAUAUCAAAUUAGACUGCAAAAGGCUUUAUUUAAGCUUCCAAAUCUUCAUCUCAGAUUCAUCCUAAACAGAAAAUAAGCCUCAUUGAGUAGACAGCAGCUUGUCUCAAUCUCCAUCCGCUGUUCCUGCUGAGGCCUAGUGGCACCUGUCCCACCUCUGAUGCAAGCAAAGCCGUUGUUCCAGGGAGCAAUCCUUAUUCUUUUCCUUUACCCUCCCUUUUCUGGCUUUAAGGUUUCCUUUAAAUUAGAAGUUCUUAGAUUUAAAGUAAGGAGGCAGUCAAAAUUUAUUAAGCCCCCCUGUACACUAUGCUCCCCUUGUGUAUUCGUCAGUGUAGGAACCUGGCAAGGUUCGUGAAAUACAAGAAUAUUCCUCAUAUUCUUAUCUUUAUUCCUCUUGCUAUCUGGUAUGAACAAACGUUAUGGGGACACUUCAAGGAGGAGAAACAAAACAUCCUUGCAUGUAACAGGGGAAUAGCUUGUAAAGCUCUGUGAAAAGGAUCUAC